UGAGGAAUAUUGGUCAAUGGACGAGAGUCUGAACCAGCCAAGUAGCGUGCAGGAUGACGGCCCUAUGGGUUGUAAACUGCUUUUAUGUGGGGAUAAAGUGCGUGACGUGUCAUGCAUUGCAGGUACCACAUGAAUAAGGACCGGCUAAUUCCGUGCCAGCAGCCGCGGUAAUACGGAAGGUCCGGGCGUUAUCCGGAUUUAUUGGGUUUAAAGGGAGCGUAGGCCGCGUUUUAAGCGUGUUGUGAAAUGUAGACGCCCAACGUCUGCAUCGCAGCGCGAACUGGGACGCUUGAGUACGCGCAACGUUGGCGGAAUUCGUCGUGUAGCGGUGAAAUGCUUAGAUAUGACGAGGAACUCCGAUUGCGAAGGCAGCUGACGGGAGCGGCACUGACGCUUAAGCUCGAAGGUGCGGGUAUCAAACAGG
rnacentral:rRNA from 1 species